GACGAACGCUGGCGGCGUGCCUAAUACAUGCCAGUUGAGCGCUGAAGGUUGGUACUUGUACCAACUGGGUGAGCAGCGAACGGGUGAGUAACGCGUGGGGAAUCUGCCUUUGAGCGGGGGACAACAUUUGGAAACGAAUGCUAAUACCGCAUAAAAACUUUAAACACAAGUUUUAAGUUUGAAAGAUGCAAUUGCAUCACUCAAAGAUGAUCCCGCGUUGUAUUAGCUAGUUGGUGAGGUAAAGGCUCACCAAGGCGAUGAUACAUAGCCGAACUGAGAGGGUGAUCGGCCACAUUGGGACUGAGACACGGCCCAAACUCCUACGGGAGGCAGCAGUAGGGAAUCUUCGGCAAUGGACGAAAGUCUGACCGAGCAACGCCGCGGGAGUGAAGAAGGUUUUCGGAUCGUAAAACUCUGUUGGUAGAGAAGAACGUUGGUGAGAGUGGAAAGCUCAGCAAGUGACGGUAACUACCCAGAAAGGGACGGCUAACUACGUG
rnacentral:rRNA from 1 species